AUUGAGAGUUUGAUCCUGGCUCAGGAUUAACGCUGGCGGCAUGCCUAAUACAUGCAAGUCGAACGAAAGUAGCAAUACUUUAGUGGCGAACGGGUGAGUAACACGUAUCUAACCUACCAUUUAGUGGGGAAUAACUGUUGGAAACGACAGCUAAUACCGCAUAUGUUAUUUAUUUGCAAUGAUAAAUAAUGAAAGGAGCAUUUGCUUCGCUAAUUGAUGGGGAUGCGGCGCAUUAACUAGUUGGUAAGGUAAUGGCUUACCAAGGUAACGAUGCGUAGCCGAUCUGAGAGGAUGAACGGCCACAUUGGGACUGAGACACGGCCCNAACUUCUACGGAAGGCAGCAGUAGGGAAUUUUUCACAAU
rnacentral:rRNA from 1 species